GCUCUCAGCCCCGGGCCCGCGCCCGCCGGAAACACCACGAACUCUGUCUGAUCUAGUGAAGUCUGAGUUGAUUGUAUCGCAAUCAGUUAAAACUUUCAACAAUGGAUCUCUUGGUUCCGGCAUCGAUGAAGAACGCAGCGAAAUGCGAUAACUAGUGUGAAUUGCAGAAUUCCGUGAAUCAUCGAGUCUUUGAACGCACAUUGCGCCCCCUGGUAUUCCGGGGGGCAUGCCUGUCCGAGCGUCAUUGCUGCCCAUCAAGCACGGCUUGUGUGUUGGGUCGUCGUCCCCUCUCCGGGGGGGACGGGCCCCAAAGGCAGCGGCGGCACCGCGUCCGAUCCUCGAUCGUAUGGGGCUUUGUCACCCGCUCUGUAGGGGCGGCCGGCGCUUGCCGAACGCAAAU
rnacentral:rRNA from 1 species